rnacentral:rRNA from 1 species
GACGAACGCUGGCGGCGUGCCUAAUACAUGCAAGUAGAACGCUGAAGGAGGAGCUUGCUCUUCUGGAUGAGUUGCGAACGGGUGAGUAACGCGUAGGUAACCUGCCUGGUAGCGGGGGAUAACUAUUGGAAACGAUAGCUAAUACCGCAUAACAGUAUAUGUUGCAUGACAUUUGCUUAAAAGGUACAAUUGCACCACUACCAGAUGGACCUGCGUUGGAUUAGCUAGUUGGUGGGGUAACGGCUCACCAAGGCGACGAUUCUUAGCCGACCUGAGAAGGUGAUCGGCCAACCUGGGAAUGAGACACCGCCCAGACUCCCAAGGGAAGGAGCAGUAGGGAAACUUCCGCAAUGGACGGAAGUCUGAACGAGGCAAGCCGCGUGAGGGAAGAAGGUUUUCGGAUCGUAAAGCCCUGUUGUAAGAGAAGAACGAGUGUUAGAGUGGAAAGUUCACACUGUGACGGUAUCUUACCAGAAAGCGACGGCUAACUACGUG